rnacentral:lncRNA from 1 species
AAAUAAUAAUUCAUUAGAAGAGUUAAGUAGAGAAUGCAAACUACUAUCUUCUAUAUAUGAAUUUAAAAGUUCAUCGUCGAUAUUUUAUCCCUGUAACAUCAAUCAAUAUAUAUCUGAAAUCAAAUAUUCAUCUUUGCACUACAGGCCAAAGAUAUUCAUCAGUUGGUCAUGUUCAUCUUUGCACUAUGGGCCAAAGAUAUUAAUCAGUCGGUCAUGUU